rnacentral:lncRNA from 1 species
UGGUUGGCCGGGUCACGCCACAAUUUUUUAACUAGAUUACCCUAAUGAUGAUUGUGGCCAAGUUUGGUUUAAUUUGGCCCAGUAGUUUUAGAGAAGAAGAUUUUUGUAAAAGUUAACAGACGACGACGGACGACGACGGACGACGGACGCAAAGUGAUGAGAAAAGCUCACUUGGCCCAUAAAAAAGAUGUGGUAUGAUUGCUAUGUUGAGACAACUCUCCACAAGAGACCAAAAUGACACAGAAAUUAACGACUAUAGGUCACCGUACGGCCUUCAACAACGAGCAAAGCCCAUACCGCAUACUCAGCUUUAAAAGGCCCCGAAAUGACGAUGUAAAAAAAUUGAAACGAGAAAACUAGCGGCCUUAUUUAAGUACAAAAAAGGAACGAAAAACACACAUGUAACACACAAACAAACGACAACCACUGAACUACAGGCUCCUUACUUAAAUGUUCAUAACAUACUAAAUGUAUGUUCAUAUUGAAAUUGAUAGAAAACCAAAGAAUUUUGGAAAUGAAGGAGGAGGUAUAAAACUUCAAACAACAC